GUUCUAAAUGUGUGGAAAAUGGGCUGGUCACAAUAGAUAUGUUCUCUCUCACUUUACAGAUAUAUUCCAACAAAAUGGCAGCAUGGAGGACCCAAAGGAUUCCUGUGGCUGGGAAAGAUCAAAGAAGCAGUUCCUGUCAUUCACGCCAACAGAUUUGACUAUAACCUCCAUCGACUUCCAUGCAGAGAUUCAAAUGUGCAAGAGAAGAAGCCUAGAGAAAAAGAUCUUCCACAGUGAAAAAAAUAUUUUCUUCGUAAUAUUCAGGGAUGCGGUAUAUGAAUCAUAUCUCUCGAUGAUUUUAUAUCUAAGAACAAACAUCAUCUAAGAAAGUGAAUUGGAAAUGGUCCGUUUGAGGAGACACUUGCUUUCUCUCAUUUAACUACUCCUAAGAAGAAAGAGACAUCUUUUUAAAUUUUCGUACUCAAGAAAUUUAUCACCGAGAAAACUCAGCAUUUGGUGAGUCUGUGCUCCCUCUUUCAGGCACUCCCCUUUGAAACAGAACAUAGGAAAAUGU
rnacentral:lncRNA from 1 species